rnacentral:rRNA from 1 species
GGGGAAUUUUGGACAAUGGGGGAAACCCUGAUUCAGCCAUGCCGCGUGUGUGAAGAAGGCCUUCGGGUUGUAAAGCACUUUCAGCGGGGAGGAAGGCGGUGAGGUUAAUAACCUCAUCGAUUGACGUUACCCGCAGAAGAAGCACCGGCUAACUCCGUGCCAGCAGCCGCGGUAAUACGGAGGGUGCAAGCGUUAAUCGGAAUUACUGGGCGUAAAGCGCACGCAGGCGGUCUGUCAAGUCGGAUGUGAAAUCCCCGGGCUCAACCUGGGAACUGCAUUCGAAACUGGCAGGCUAGAGUCUUGUAGAGGGGGGUAGAAUUCCAGGUGUAGCGGUGAAAUGCGUAGAGAUCUGGAGGAAUACCGGUGGCGAAGGCGGCCCCCUGGACAAAGACUGACGCUCAGGUGCGAAAGCGUGGGGAGCAAAC